rnacentral:tmRNA from 1 species
GGGGGUGCACUGGUUUCGAUGGGAGACCUGCAGCGACGGAUGCAUACCGGGAUGCUUGUAACCCGUACUCUGCAAGCAAAACAUAAUUGCGAAUCAAGAACUCGCAAUGGCUGCCUAGUUAAUACCUAGUUCACAGCUCGUUCGCCCGUGCUUCGCCGAUAGGCACGGAACCGAGCGUCACUUUUAUCGGCUGGCUUUCUGAUGCAGGUCAGAGUCAGAAAGCGAGACUUUUCUGGCAUAGCUCGCGCGCGGUUCUUCGCCGCUUCGGAUUCCGCGCGAGAGUGAAACUUCAAUCGAAGCGGCUAAGUAUGUAGAGGCUUUCGUGAAUGGCUGCCAGACGAGAGUUCGAUUCUCUCCACCUCCACCA